GGUUUUUCUAGCCUGGGCUCUCUCCUUCUCCAGGACCUCAGUGUCAUCCAGGAUCUCCAGGCCUGGGAUCUGACUGAUGACGUACUGUCUGUGAAGGCAAAAGGGAUGGAAGAAGUCAUUUGUUCCUUUGGGCAAGUAAAAGUACUAAUACUACAGUACAGGCAAAAGUCCUCAUAGGAACAGGCCUACCACAGGGAAACACCAGGAAGAGGUGAAAAGAUGUCUAACGGAUUCUCACCUGUAGUCUUUGUACUGGGUCAGACUUCCUCCAUUGAAAUAGCUGGGUGCUGCCUCGUUAUUCAUCAUACUGAGGAUCCUGUAUAUGAAAGGAAUAUCGAAGAAUAAAACAAGGUGGAACGAUUAUCAGCUGCAAGUUCCUCUACUGACUUGUCAGACAGGCUCACUUUAUAUUUGGGAACUUUCGGCGGAUUUCUUCCACGAACACGGGCAGGUUGUUGAUCUUGUUCUUGUUGAUGCACAGGGCGGUGACACUGGGCAUGUAGGGGAACUUGAUGUGAGAGGUGUAGUUGUUACAGUCCAGGAUCAGAGUGCUCAGCUUCUCCAGCUGACCCAGCAGAGCCGGGUUCCAAUAGGGAUUGAAUGAAGGAGAACACAGCCAACUCAACCUGCUCACAUUUGUCGGUCAUGGACCACAUGAGCAUCAAUACACUGUAAAAUGUGUGAAUAUAUGUU